GUACACGCUGUGACUAGCAUAUCAAUAAGCGGAGGAAAAGAAACUAACAAGGAUUCCCCUAGUAACGGCGAGUGAAGCGGGAAGAGCUCAAAUUUGAAAUCUUAAAGGGUUUCCCUUUACGAAUUGUAGUUUAAAGAAGUGUUUUCUGUUGAGGUUUUGGUAAAAGUUCUUUGGAAUAGGACAUCAUAGAGGGUGAGAAUCCCGUAUUUGACCUUUACUUUCAACUUUGUGAUACACUUUCAAAGAGUCGGAUUGUUUGGGAAUGCAGUCCAAAAUGGGUGGUAAAUUUCAUCUAAAGCUAAAUAUUGGCGAGAGACCGAUAGCGAACAGGUACCGUGAGGGAAAGAUGAAAAGAACUUUGAAAAGAGAGUUAAACAGUACGUGAAAUUGUCAAAAGGGAAGCGUUUGACACCAGUGUUGUUUUUCUGAAAAUCAAUUAAAGAACUGUUUAUGCUAAGUUGUUUAGACUUUAUCAGCUAACUGUUUAGUUUUGAGCUUUUCUUUAAUGCACUUUUCAGUUAACAAGUCAACAUCAAUUUCUUUUGCUGUAAAAAAGCUUGAGGAAGGUGGCUUGAGAUUCGUCUUAAGUGUUUAUAGCCUCUUGCCUAUGCAGUCGGAGAGAUUGAGGUCUGCAGCGUAGAUCCUUCGGGGCUAAAUGCAUUUGUGCUAAGUUAUAGCAUUUUAUAGACAACUUGUUGACUAUGAUUUGUCUUGUAGCUUACUCGCUUAUGUUAUUUUACCUACGCUUAGGAUGUUGAAGAUGUAGUACAUCAU
rnacentral:rRNA from 1 species